rnacentral:rRNA from 1 species
AAUAUGGGAAAAGGUGCAAAAGCCUGAUCCAGCCAUGCCGCUUGUGUGAAGUUGGACAUAUGACUGUCAAGCACUUUAAGUUGAGAGGAAGGUCAGUAAGUUAAUACCUUGCUGUUUUGUCGAUACCGACAGAAUAAGCACCUGCUAACUUCGUGCCAGCAGCUGCGGUAAUACGAAGGGUGCAAGCGUUACUCGGAAUUACUGGGCGUAAAGCGCGCGUAGGUGGUUUGUUAAGUUGGAAGUGAAAGCCCCGGGCUCAACCUGGGAACUGCUUUCAAAACUGGCAAGCUAGAGUAUGGCAGAGGGUGGUGGAAUUUCCUGUGUAGCGGUGAAAUGCGUAGAUAUAGGAAGGAACACCAGUGGCGAAGGCGACUACCUGGUCGAGAACUGACGCUGAUGCACGAAAGCUAGGGGAGCAAACA